GAGGGGACAGAGCUCAUCCAGAGGACAGGAGAAGUCAGCUAAUAGUGAUAGAUGAUGAAUGAAUUAUCCCUAAGUAACUCAUUAUUUCAAAUCACAACUCAAUGUUACUGUAUGUUACUAUUUAUUAUGGCAUGUUUUAAGGUUUUUUGUAAGGAUAAACCCUGAAGAGGGAACAAAAUGUACCUCCAAGGUUGGGACAAGCAGAAGGACUGGGACCACUGUGAAGCGAAAGGUUGCUCACAUUAACCCUCAUGUCACAACUUUCCUCCAGCGGCUUACUGAAUUUGAGUGGAAAACUUCAAAUUAGAUGAUCCAUGGCCCAUGCUUUCUGGACAUUUACACAAGACGAA